GGCCCUGUAGCUCAAUGGCAGAGCAACUGACUCUUAAUCAGCAGGUUGGAGGUUCGAGCCCUCCCAGGGUCA
rnacentral:tRNA from 1 species